UUUUUAAUGCUGCCUAAUGUAUGCAUUGUAUUCAUGGGUGCAUUAGAAGGUUCCAAGCCCUUGAAAAAGCAGAGGAGAAU
rnacentral:ribozyme from 1 species